UGAUAGCUGUGAAGCGUGAGGUUGCUGCCGACGGCGCGAGAGCGCGGGAUGGCAGGUUUUCCGUGGAGCGAAUGUCAAGUUAGGAAACUGGCGACAA
rnacentral:ncRNA from 1 species